rnacentral:rRNA from 1 species
UACGUAGGGGGCGAGCGUUGUCCGGAUUUAUUGGGCGUAAAGAGCUCGUAGGCGGUUUGGUAAGUCGGGUGUGAAAUCUCCACGCUCAACGUGGAGGGGCCACUCGAUACUGCCAUGACUCGAGUCCGGUAGAGGAGUGUGGAAUUCCCGGUGUAGCGGUGAAAUGCGCAGAGAUCGGGAGGAACAUCAGUGGCGAAGGCGGCCAUCUGGGACAACACUGACGCUGAAGCACGAAAGCGUGGGGAGCAAACAGG